GACGAACGCUGGCGGCGUGCUUAACACAUGCAAGUCGAACGGAAAGGCCCUGCUUGCAGGGUACUCGAGUGGCGAACGGGUGAGUAACACGUGGGUGAUCUGCCCUGCACUUCGGGAUAAGCCUGGGAAACUGGGUCUAAUACCGGAUAGGAGCCAUUUUUAGUGUGAUGGUUGGAAAGUUUUUUUCGGUGUAGGAUGAGCUCGCGGCCUAUCAGCUUGUUGGUGGGGUAAUGGCCUACCAAGGCGGCGACGGGUAGCCGGCCUGAGAGGGUGGACGGCCACAAUGGGACUGAGAUACGGCCCAGACUCCUACGGGAGGCAGCAGUGGGGAAUAUUGCACAAUGGGCGCAAGCCUGAUGCAGCGACGCCGCGUGGGGGAUGACGGCCUUCGGGUUGUAAACUCCUUUCGCUAGGGACGAAGCUUUUUGUGACGGUACCUAGAUAAGAAGCACCGGCUAACUACGUG
rnacentral:rRNA from 1 species